ACCCAGCUGAAGAGUCUCAAAUAGGACGAAACGCGCAUCCUGAAU
rnacentral:hammerhead_ribozyme from 1 species